rnacentral:tRNA from 1 species
GUUUUAAUAAUUUAAGGAUNAAAUAUUGGUCUUGUAGACCAAAAAUAAGNAAAACUUUUAAAACU